GUCUGGCUGGCUUAGUUAGUAGAGCAUGUGACUGUCAAUCUCAGGGCUGUGAGUUCAAGCCCCAUGCUGGGCA
rnacentral:tRNA from 1 species